rnacentral:rRNA from 1 species
UACGGCGGGUGCGAGCGUUGUCCGGAAUCACUGGGCGUAAAGGGCGCGUAGGCGGCGCGAUUAGUCAACGGUGAAAGCCCGGGGCUCAACCCCGGGUCGGCCGUCGAUACUCUCGUGCUUGAGCACUGUAGAGGCAGGUGGAAUUCCGGGUGUAGCGGUGGAAUGCAUAGAGAUCCGGAAGAACACCGGUGGCGAAGGCGGCCUGCUGGGCAGUAGCUGACGCUGAGGCGCGACAGCGUGGGGAGCAAACAGG